GUUCCCAUUCCGAACACGGAAGUUAAGCUCAUUUGUGCUCAAAAUACUUGGCGGGAAGCUGCCCGGGAAAAUAGGUCGAUGCUGACA
rnacentral:rRNA from 1 species